UGAGUUACGGCUCUGACCCCUCCAUCAUCUCCUUACAAGGCUUCACAGCAGCACAGAUGGGCAAUGAAGCAGUGCAGCAGAUUCUGAGUGGUCAUUCGUAGAUAGUGAUCAUUCUACUUCAGCCUUAAUGGUGAUCUUGAGACGGGAAGAUUUAGAAGGAAAUCUAUCUAGCAUGUCUUCACUAUCAACAUGAAGAGUACACCUAUACGUACUUCUGAUGUUGAUUAUCGACUCUUAGAGGCAUCUAAAGCUGGAGACUUGGAAACUGUGAAGCAACUUUGCAGCUCUCAAAAUGUGAAUUGUAGAGACUUAGAGGGCCGGCAUUCCACGCCCUUACACUUCGCAGCAGGCUACAAC
rnacentral:lncRNA from 1 species